CUCUGUUAGGACAGCUGUUAAGAUGAACUGACAAACAGUGACAAAUGCUGUCAACUGGUGGUGUUACUUUUCCUUGAAUAGACGAACAGAACACAGUUUUCUCAGACAAGAAAUAUUUAUGUUUUACGUAAAUUUAACCAUUUGAUGAAAAUUAUAUGCUGCUGUUUUCUCUUGAAUUCCUUGUGAAUGUUCUCAUCCAAAAAAGAUUCCUUCUUCCCGAGAAAGGAUAAUAAAAUCCGAAGCAAAAUCAUGGGCUAGGAAGUUGAUCACAAUGAUCACAAGAGUGAGCUCAGCAAGAAAGAAUUACAACUUCCGAAGCAACUUCGGAAGCAACAACAAUUACAGCCUCCGAAGCAAUUACAAAAGACGAUGUGGAAGAAAUGCCCUCAGUAGAAGAAGAAGAAUGAAAAAUAAUUUUAGGUCCGUGAUCCAUGAAAUUUGUGCAAAGGGGGUGAGAUGCAGACUUUUCAUGUAACGAUAUCACCCUGAUCAAGCAGUAGCAAGCUACAACAUACUAAACAUUUUUACUAAUAAUGCGAUGCCUCACUUUAGAAACAUUUUAAAACUUAAGCAACCACGCUGAACAAAUUAAGAGUAAAACAGAAACCUAGUGAGACUAAAGCAGAGUGGCGCUUAGAGAUAAAGAAAAGAUGAAAGAAAUCAUGUUUUUAUUGGAAGGCCCCGAUUUCGCAUCCAAACAGCAUCAUCCUUAUCAUUUUCCACGUACAUCAUCUUCUUCCUGAGUUUUCAUAACACAGUAGGAGAAACAAGUAUGAAAGCCCUUACUUUCAAACCAAGGACACCCAACUUUCAAACCAAAGACACCCAACAUUUAAGAGCUACUUAUGUUUAGAGAGUAUGGCAAACGUACGAGGACUAUUUACCGAAGGAAAGGGAUUUCUUCAUGGAGGACUUUCUAAGGAAAUAGGAGCUAUUCACAUGAGGCCAGUGCUCCUCACCCUUGUCCCGGCCCUAAAGCUGAGCAAAAAAAAUCCUUGAAAGGAAACGCCGAACCAAGACAGAUUGGAAAGCUCUGGCAGAUAAGUCGUCCUCCGCUUUGUCAUAUUCAACUUAAAAGAUCAUGCUAUGAUUACGAAUGGUAACUUUUAUAUGGCUAAUAAAUAUAGGAUGAUUAUAUAAUAAUCAGCUAGAUAGACUAGUGUGAACUGGAAGAUUAUCGCUGUUGGUUGACUUUCAGAACAAGAGCUUCCUUAGUGCAUUAAUAUUUUGUUUUAUAUGUGAAUGUCACGGAAGAGUAGUUCGUGUCAAAGAAAAAAGAAAAAAAUUGAUUUCUUUUCAUAUUUCAAAUUAUUUCUUGCAUAUUUCUACUGUUUAUAGUGCGUAUAUAUAUAAUAAUCAGCUAGAUGGAACUAGGGUGAACUGGAAGAUUAUCACUGUUGGUUAAUACUUAGAACAAGAGCUUCCUUAGUGUAUGAAUAUUUUGCUUUAUAUGUGAAUGCCAGUGGAGAGUAGUUCGUGGCAAAGAAAAAAGAAAAAUUGUUGAGUAGGAGGACGACACGGAUCGGAUACGACGGCCAACGGCAACUCUAAAAUGAUGGACAGACUAGAAGUGACGCCUCCUUUCUUCUUAUUUUAUUUUAUUUUUUUAUUUCUAGACUCGAAGAGAUUCAUUUGCGUCGUUUAUUUCCGCCACUUACAACUCAGAUUUUAGGAAAAUUGAAGCUAAUUAAAUACAAUCUCCGAAGCAUUUGGUGUGCGUGUGUGAAUCAAUCGUAUUCCAGUAGCGAACGGGCGUAUUCUGGCAUUGUUCCAAAUCGAGCUCACAAGGUUGGUUACAAGUAUUGACCGCUCUGCAAACUUUGCCUUUUUCAUAAGAAAACUUACUUCUCCCUUCUUUACCUUUUCUUUCGCGCAAGAAAAUCGUUUUCGUACACGCUGCGACAGAGUUUCUCUUCGUUUUGUUAUUCUCAGAGGAAGUAAGCUAAAGAAUUCGGGAAGGCGUGUCGUCAGCUUCGCUUCAUGUUAAAGAAAUAUAUGUGUAUUUAAAUGCUGAUUUAAUGAGAGGAAAUAAAAAUAUUUAGGGAUGAAAGUGAAUUGCAUCAUCAAUAAGAGCUUACAAAAUAGUGUCGCAUAUAAUUUCCCGAUUUUAUCAUAGUUAUAAUUUUUGAAUUUUAGCAAGUUAAUAGCUACGUUAUAAAGCAAGUCCUAUUUAGAGUGUGAUUAUGAAUAUUUUUGAAGUAAACAUAAUUACGAGAUAAAUAUAAUUCAUUAACUAGAGAAAUAAAAGCGAAAUCUUAAUUGCACGACAUCUGCUUCAAUAUAUGAUUCAUUUAGUAGAUGGAUGAUUCGCUUUAUUUGGAAUAGUAAGUCCAGAGUUUCAGGUAGUUAAACUAUCAUACGUUUGCUCACCUUUUUAUAGGACACGGAAUUUUUAAGAGAGAGAGUUUCUAGCCAGGUGUUGCUAAACAUUCACACGCAUUUAUGAAGAAUGUUCAUCCCACAUGCAAAUAUAGAGAUUCUUAUGCCUUAAUAAUUGAUGUGACUUGUUUUUAGUGUGUUUUUUACAGUGUAAGUAGAGCCUUAAAAAAUGAUAACAGUUGAGCUAUGUAGUCAUGUAACUAUUCCGAUGAAAUUCGUCAGCCAUGGAAAUGGGUAUGAAGAACAGCGUUGAAGUGAAUGUAGCAGCAGUAAUAAGCAAUUGUAUUUGUAAAUGAGGGGGCGUUUCCUCCACUGAAUAUCGGUGAUUUGACGAGAGUUAAAUUCACCGGUAAAAUAUACGCUGAUUAGGGUAUUUUUAAAACGACCUAUGUAGGAUGUGAAUAUUUUCAGUAACUCACUAUAUGAACAUUAGACAGAAAUCCUAAUCGUAUUCAUGCCAUUUGAAAAACAAAAUAUGAUUUUUUUUUUUUUUUUUUUUUUUU